AGCGAACGCUGGCGGCAGGCCUAACACAUGCAAGUCGAACGAACCUUUCGGGGUUAGUGGCGGACGGGUGAGUAACACGUGGGAACGUGCCUUUAGGUUCGGAAUAACUCAGGGAAACUUGUGCUAAUACCGAAUGUGCCCUUCGGGGGAAAGAUUUAUCGCCUUUAGAGCGGCCCGCGUCUGAUUAGCUAGUUGGUUGAGGUAAUGGCUCACCAAGGCGACGAUCAGUAGCUGGUCUGAGAGGAUGAUCAGCCACAUUGGGACUGAGACACGGCCCAAACUCCUGCGGGAGGGAGGAAUGGGGGAUCCUGCGGAAUGGGGGGAAGGCUGAAGGAGCCAAGCCGGGUGAAAGAUGAAGGUCUUAGGAAUGGAAAAUUCUUUCACCGGGGACGAUAAUGACGGUACCCGGAGAAGAAGCCCCGGCUAACUUCGUG
rnacentral:rRNA from 1 species